AAAUACUUGAACCUUAAAAGUGCUAAGGGAGAGGAGUAUGCUAGAAGCCACCCACCGCCUGAAUGUGACCUCGAGAAAUGGAAAAACUUGAUUGACAAGAAGUGGAAUGAUGCCAAUUGGCUGAAGCAAUCAAAUUCUAACAUUGACAAUAGAAAUCAAUUGAAGACAAAGCAUAGGUGUGGGUCAAAAUCUCUCCCAGUUAGGGUACACGAGGCGACAAUUGCAAAUGGGGGCCAACUGCCAGAGUUGCCAUGUGUUUACAAAUCUACACACUUUAAU